UACGAAGGCGGCUAGCGUUGUGCGGAAUUACUGGGCGUAAAGCGCACGUAGGCGGCUCUGUAAGUUGGGGGUGAAAUCCCGAGGCUCAACCUCGGAAUUGCCUUCAAGACUGCAGGGCUUGAGUUCGGGAGAGGUGAGUGGAAUUCCCAGUGUAGAGGUGAAAUUCGUAGAGAUUGGGAAGAACCCCAGUGGCGAAGGCGGCUCACUGGCCCGUAACUGACGCUGAGGUGCGAAAGCGUGGGGAGCAAACAGG
rnacentral:rRNA from 1 species